rnacentral:rRNA from 1 species
CAGCAGCCGCGGUAAUACGUAGGGUGCAAGCGUUACUCGGAAUUACUGGGCGUAAAGGGCGCGUAGGCGGACAGUUAAGUUGGGGGUGAAAGCCCGGGGCUCAACCUCGGAAUUGCCUUCAAUACUGGCUGUCUUGAGUACGGGAGAGGUGUGUGGAACGCCGAGUGUAGAGGUGAAAUUCGUAGAUAUUCGGAAGAACACCAGUGGCGAAGGCGACACACUGGCCCGUUACUGACGCUGAGGCGCGAAAGCGUGGGGAGCAAACAGG